rnacentral:rRNA from 1 species
UACGUAGGGUGCAAGCGUUAAUCGGAAUUACUGGGCGUAAAGCGUGCGCAGGCGGUUUCGUAAGUCUGUCGUGAAAUCCCCGGGCUUAACCUGGGAAUGGCGAUGGAGACUGCGAGGCUAGAGUUUGGCAGAGGGGGGUAGGAUUCCACGUGUAGCAGUGAAAUGCGUAGAGAUGUGGAGGAGCACCGAUGGCGAAGGCAGCCCCCUGGGUCAAAACUGACGCUCAUGCACGAAAGCGUGGGGAGCAAACAGG